rnacentral:lncRNA from 1 species
UUCUCCUGAACAUAUAGAAAUUGAAAUCUCUCAAAUACGAACACAUAUGAGCAGUUAACGCAAUAAACCAGAUAAUAUAAAAUUCACAAAAAUUCAUAUAUUAAUCAUAUAAUACUCAUAAUUAACCAUAAUUAAUUAACCAACAAAUCCACCAAUACCACUUACUCACAUCACACAUAUAUUCACAUAAUAAUCAUCUAAAAUUUUCAAAACAAUAUAUGAAAAUCAGUUUUAAAAAUACAAUUAUUUAUCAAUAACACAAUAACCCGGGGUUUAAAUAUAAAACCUUGAAAACUCAUUAAACUGGAAUAAAAUAUUAAAUCUUAUUCCCUUCUUUUUAAGAAAAUCAUUUAUAAUAUUAAUAAAAAUAUUUUUAAAAUCCGGGUUAUUACAAUCUACCCUCCUUAUAGGGAUUCCGUCCUCGGAAUCAGAGAAAGAAGGAGGACGCAUAAUCUGUAAAAUCCAUAUUAAUCCACAGAACAAGUAUAAUCACAUAAAACUAUUCACAUAAUCAAUUCACUUUUCAACUAAAGCCAACAAUAAUAUUUAGACAAAUAGAUUUAUAAUAAUCAAAUCUAAAUUUAAUAAUAUGGGAUAUUACAUUCUACCCCCCUUAUAAGGAUUCCGUCCUCGGAAUCCGCCGAAGAAACUAAAACGUAUCAUUUAUAAGAUCGUGGUACACGCUUCAUAAUAUCACAUGCUCAUCCGCCUUUGAUCAACUUUGGCAUACCUUCAAAGUUAAAGAAAUAGGAAAAUCAACACCUUCACAAUUGCAAACUUCAUUUCCCAAGAAUCAAUCUUUGGGAAUUUCGGAAGAACAAGAUAUUUUCAAAAUAGGUCACAUUGGAAUACAAGAGUGACUGGGAGAUCAAUACGAUCAAUUGAACUUAAUGUUGCGUGUCCAUAUUAGACACUACUAAAGGUUGUUAACCUUCUUGUAAUCACAACACACACAAGUGAUGGCGUCCCAUCCAACUCCUAUCACACAGACAGGUAUACCUUGUGUCCCCUAUAAAUAGGGUUGUUCAUCCCAAUCA